GGGACACGUGGUAUCCUGUCUGAAUAUGGGGGGACCAUCCUCCAAGGCUAAAUACUCCUGACUGACCGAUAGUGAACCAGUACCGUGAGGGAAAGGCGAAAAGAACCCCGGCGAGGGGAGUGAAAAAGAACCUGAAACCGUGUACGUACAAGCAGUGGGAGCACGCUUAGGCGUGUGACUGCGUACCUUUUGUAUAAUGGGUCAGCGACUUAUAUUCUGUAGCAAGGUUAACCGAAUAGGGGAGCCGAAGGGAAACCGAGUCUUAACUGGGCGUUAAGUUGCAGGGUAUAGACCCGAAACCCGGUGAUCUAGCCAUGGGCAGGUUGAAGGUUGGGUAACACUAACUGGAGGACCGAACCGACUAAUGUUGAAAAAUUAGCGGAUGACUUGUGGCUGGGGGUGAAAGGCCAAUCAAACCGGGAGAUAGCUGGUUCUCCCCGAAAGCUAUUUAGGUAGCGCCUCGUGAAUUCAUCUCCGGGGGUAGAGCACUGUUUCGGCAAGGGGGUCAUCCCGACUUACCAACCCGAUGCAAACUGCGAAUACCGGAGAAUGUUAUCACGGGAGACACACGGCGGGUGCUAACGUCCGUCGUGAAGAGGGAAACAACCCAGACCGCCAGCUAAGGUCCCAAAGUCAUGGUUAAGUGGGAAACGAUGUGGGAAGGCCCAGACAGCCAGGAUGUUGGCUUAGAAGCAGCCAUCAUUUAAAGAAAGCGUAAUAGCUCACUGGUCGAGUCGGCCUGCGCGGAAGAUGUAACGGGGCUAAACCAUGCACCGAAGCUGCGGCAGCGACGCUUAUGCGUUGUUGGGUAGGGGAGCGUUCUGUAAGCCUGUGAAGGUGUGCUGUGAGGCAUGCUGGAGGUAUCAGAAGUGCGAAUGCUGACAUAAGUAACGAUAAAGCGGGUGAAAAGCCCGCUCGCCGGAAGACCAAGGGUUCCUGUCCAACGUUAAUCGGGGCAGGGUGAGUCGACCCCUAAGGCGAGGCCGAAAGGCGUAGUCGAUGGGAAACAGGUUAAUAUUCCUGUACUUGGUGUUACUGCGAAGGGGGGACGGAGAAGGCUAUGUUGGCCGGGCGACGGUUGUCCCGGUUUAAGCGUGUAGGCUGGUUUUCCAGGCAAAUCCGGAAAAUCAAGGCUGAGGCGUGAUGACGAGGCACUACGGUGCUGAAGCAACAAAUGCCCUGCUUCCAGGAAAAGCCUCUAAGCAUCAGGUAACAUCAAAUCGUACCCCAAACCGACACAGGUGGUCAGGUAGAGAAUACCAAGGCGCUUGAGAGAACUCGGGUGAAGGAACUAGGCAAAAUGGUGCCGUAACUUCGGGAGAAGGCACGCUGAUAUGUAGGUGAAGCGACUUGCUCGUGGAGCUGAAAUCAGUCGAAGAUACCAGCUGGCUGCAACUGUUUAUUAAAAACACAGCACUGUGCAAACACGAAAGUGGACGUAUACGGUGUGACGCCUGCCCGGUGCCGGAAGGUUAAUUGAUGGGGUCAGCGCAAGCGAAGCUCUUGAUCGAAGCCCCGGUAAACGGCGGCCGUAACUAUAACGGUCCUAAGGUAGCGAAAUUCCUUGUCGGGUAAGUUCCGACCUGCACGAAUGGCGUAAUGAUGGCCAGGCUGUCUCCACCCGAGACUCAGUGAAAUUGAACUCGCUGUGAAGAUGCAGUGUACCCGCGGCAAGACGGAAAGACCCCGUGAACCUUUACUAUAGCUUGACACUGAACAUUGAGCCUUGAUGUGUAGGAUAGGUGGGAGGCUUAGAAGUGUGGACGCCAGUCUGCAUGGAGCCGACCUUGAAAUACCACCCUUUAAUGUUUGAUGUUCUAACGUUGACCCGUAAUCCGGGUUGCGGACAGUGUCUGGUGGGUAGUUUGACUGGGGCGGUCUCCUCCUAAAGAGUAACGGAGGAGCACGAAGGUUGGCUAAUCCUGGUCGGACAUCAGGAGGUUAGUGCAAUGGCAUAAGCCAGCUUGACUGCGAGCGUGACGGCGCGAGCAGGUGCGAAAGCAGGUCAUAGUGAUCCGGUGGUUCUGAAUGGAAGGGCCAUCGCUCAACGGAUAAAAGGUACUCCGGGGAUAACAGGCUGAUACCGCCCAAGAGUUCAUAUCGACGGCGGUGUUUGGCACCUCGAUGUCGGCUCAUCACAUCCUGGGGCUGAAGUAGGUCCCAAGGGUAUGGCUGUUCGCCAUUUAAAGUGGUACGCGAGCUGGGUUUAGAACGUCGUGAGACAGUUCGGUCCCUAUCUGCCGUG
rnacentral:rRNA from 1 species